CACGGCAGUAGAAGAGUCAAGGUGACAGGGCUGGCUGUAAACCGGUCCACGGCAGGUUCGAUUCCUGCUGCUGCCAC
rnacentral:tRNA from 1 species